CGCGGCAGCGGCUGCAGGAGCACCUCCAGGAGAGGCACCUGCAGGGCAGAGCGGGGCCCUGGGCCUGUGGCCUGUGCCUCAAGGAGGUGGCCGACGUCUGGAUGUACAACCAGCACCUGCGGGAGCACGCCGCCCGCUUUGCCCGCAGGGGGCAGGCGCAGCAGCCCUGGGGGGGCCUGCCCCGCGACUUGGCGCCCGAGAGCACCCACACACACCUCCUGGACAGCAUCGUGGAGCCGGACAGACCCCGCAGCAGCAGGCCCACAGGGGACAGAGCAAGUGGGAGCCCCAGGGAGACGGCAGAAGGGGGACGGGAAGCUGAGGAGGAGGCCCCCAGGGGGCAGGUGAGGCCGGCCAGCGGCAGCAGCCCGGCAGCUCCGACCGGCAGCUCCGCCACCCACUCUGCCAAGACGUCUCCCAGCCUGGCCCCUGACCCUUGGCUCCUGCCAGCUGUCCCCAUGCACGCGGCCUGCAGGGACCCCUCCAGAGACUGCCACCACUGCGGGAAGCGGUUCCCCAAGCCCUUCAAGCUGCAGCGCCACCUGGCGGUGCAUAGCCCGCAGCGCGUCUACCUCUGCCCCCGGUGCCCGGGCGUCUACCCCGAGCUCUGCGAGCUGCGGGCGCACCUGGGUGGGGUGCACGGGCUACAGGAGGAGCGGGAGCUGCCCCACAUGCCACUGUACGCCUGCGAGCUCUGCGCCAACGUCAUGCACGUCAUCAGAAGGUCCUUUGUCUGCAGCUCCUGCAACUACACCUUUGCCAAGAAGGAGCAGUUCGACCGACACAUGGAGAAGCACCUGAGGGGCAGCCAGCAGCCCUUGGCGCUCCGCCGUGUGCGCCGGCCAGCGACCCCCAGGCAGAAGGCCCUGGCCCUCGAGGGCGUGCUGCCCAGCAAAAGGCGAAAGGUGGUUGUGCCCAGCAGCCCCCCAGGGCUGGGUGUGGCUGUGGCCGGGCCUUUGUCCCUAGGCAGCCCUACCCUGAGCCCUCCUGCCCUGCCCCAGCUCUGCCCAGAGUCGGCUCCCAGCACCACCAAGAGCUGGCCCAACCCAUCCAGCCCCGCGGCCAGGGAAGACCAGCGGCCACCACACAGUCAGGAGCGCCCACCCCCGGCUCUGUCACCUCUCCCCACUGUCUUGGCUGGUGGCAGCUGUGACCAGGGACCGGACCCGACCCUAGAGAGGCCUGAAGACAAGGCUUGGCCAGGCGAGCAGCAGCCUCCCCGGGAGGAAAAGGGGCCUCCUCCCCUGUUCUCAGGGGGACACAGGAGCCCGGGCACCCGCAGCAAAUGUGUGUCUGAUGGCUCCCCAGGAGACCCCUUCCAGCUCCAAAAAAAGAAGCAGGUGUCCAUACCCCAUGUGGCACCCGAGAGGGGUACAAGGGGUCCUUCCCACAAGGGUGGUGCCACCAAGCCACCAAAGCAAGGAGCAGCAGCGUCCACUCCCAGCCAUGCACCCAAGCCCCUGGUGCAACCCAGGAAGCCCGUGGGGAUAGGGAGCCCGGCACCCCGAGAGCAGGCCCAUGGCACUGAGGAUAGGGUGAAGCCCACCUCCCCCAAAGCCAAGCCAAGAGCCAGCGCCCAGGGCAACAGGUGCCCAUGGCCCGGCACCAAGACAGGAGGCGGCAGCCAGCCCCAACCAGCCAGUGGGCGGCUCCAAAGCGAGACAGCCAGCACCCCAGCCAGGCCCCUACACCCUAGCCCAAACCCCACCUCAGCUAAGUCCCCAUCUCGAACCCAGGCCAGGGGCUGCACCAAGGGCCCCAGAGAGGCUGGAGACCAGGGGCCCCGCGGUUCCCCCAGCCCCAGGGAGACGGGCGAGGGCAGGGAGAAGAGGAGGAAGAGCCAGGCCCUGGAGCUGGCCAAGCGUGAAGGCGUGGGGGGCUCUGGCAGAGCCCCUGUGGCCCCCGACAAGCCCCUCCGGACCCCCCGAAAACAGCCUGCUCCCAGCCGCCUGCUCCCCACCAAGCCCAGACCCAGUAGCCAGAACGGUAAGAUGAGGCCACCACCCUCAGAGCAGCGGGAGGCACACAGCCGUGCCCACAGGGGGGAGGCACUGAGCAAGCACAGUCCCCAAGCCAGACUCCCGCUCAGGGCCCCCAAGAGGGGUAGAGCCGUCCACAGUGCCGAGGCCACCAGAGCCCGAGACCACCGCACUGCGGAGUCCCAGAGUAACCUCCUCAACCAGCUCUUUGGCCAGAGACUGACCAGCUUCAAGAUCCCUUUAAAGAAGUUCACUUCGGAGUAACCGGAGCUCUGGCGGCUGUGGGGCGCCUGGCACGCGGGUUCUGCGCCACUCUCCUUCGGUGUAGCUGAAAGUCGGGGCACCUGCCUGCCCCAGCCUGCAGGAGCUGGGCAGUGCUCCGUGCAGGCUGCCGGGCACAGCAGCCCCUCUCUCGCCGGAGCACAGGGGAGAGGGAUGGCAGCUGCAGUCCCUUUGAGACCACACUGCCGCCUCCUUGGUACCCAGUACUUGAAGAGCAAGUAGACCGUGCCCUCCCCAGCCCUGUGUGCCCUCUCGGCAAGGCGCCACCGGCCGUGGAAUGCGCUGGGAGAGUCGCACAGGGACCCCGUCACCCAGGGGAAGUAAGCUGGGGCCGGCGCCCCUCUGAAUCUUGCUGCUGCUGCCGCUGCUGGAAUCCCUGGGGCAGGGCAUUCCACAUGGGCCAUUUCUGAGCCACCUGGUCCCCAACAGCACAACACGCCUCCUCCCUGUGGCCACACUGUGGAGGCUCCCGCUGCACCUGGCUCCUGGGGGCCGACCAGGCUCCCACGGGUUCCUGCAGAAGGCCGUGCCCGGGGUCCACCAGGCGAGGCCCGCCCACGCAGACCCUCCGCUCUGUCCCGGGGACUCUGCGCUGAGGUUUCUGGUGCUACUUUCGUGUUGUAAUGUGAAUACAGCUGCCUUGACUUAAUCUGGACCAGGGGGUUGGGCAGGACUCCGGGUCAGGGAGGCUAAGGACGCCCGGCUGAGUCUCACUGGCCUCCAGCCAGGCUCCAGCCUGAAGUCCCCGCAGCGAGGGACACCUUCAGGCCUCGUGGGCGAGAGCGUCCGAGCACUGACUGCCCCCACAGGUGCGGUCCUGGGAGAGCAGGAGCCUGGGGCAGGCGUGGGAGGCUCCUCCCCCUGGGGCUCAGGCUCGAGGCUGUCUGUCCUGUGGCUCUUAGCUUGGUGCCAUGUGUGUCAAAGGCUUUAUUUUGACAUCUCAAAAGAGACCAAAUCAGCCUCUCUAGAAGGUACUGUGGGCCUCAGAGAGCAUCUCGUGUGGACGAAGACGGAGA
rnacentral:lncRNA from 1 species